GACGAACGCUGGCGGCGUGCCUAAUACAUGCAAGUAGAACGCAGUUGCGAACGGGUGAGUAACGCGUAGGUAACUGCCUGGUAGCGGGGGAUUACUAUUGGAAACGAUAGCUAAUACCGCAUACUUCUAGAUGGACCUGCGUUGUAUUAGCUAGUUGGUGGGGUAACGGGUCACCAAGGCAACGGUACAUAGCCGACCUGAGAGGGGGAUCGGCCACACAGGGAAUGGGACACGGGCCAGACUCCUACGGGAGGGAGGAGUAGGGAAUCUUCGGCAAUGGACGGAAGGCCGACCGAGCAACGCCGCGUGAGUGAAGAAGGUUUUCGGAUCGUAAAGCUCUGUUGUAAGAGAAGCGGUAUCUUACCAGAAAGGGACGGCUAACUACGUGCCAGCAGCCGCGGUAAUUC
rnacentral:rRNA from 1 species